rnacentral:rRNA from 1 species
AACGAACGCUGGCGGCAUGCCUAACACAUGCAAGUCGAACGAGCCCUUCGGGUCUUGUGGCGCACGGGUGCGUAACGCGUGGGAACCUGCCCUUAGGUUCGGAAUAACUCUCCGACUGGGGUGAUAAUACCGGAUAAUGUCUUCGGACCAAAGAUUUAUCGCCUUUGGAUGUGCCCGCGUUGGAUGAGCUAGUUGUUAGGGUAAAAGCUUAACACGGCGACGAUCCAUAGCUGGUCUGAGAGGAUGAUCAGCAACACUGGGACUGAGACACGGCCCGGACUCCUACGGGAGGCAGCAGUGGGGAAUAUUGGACAAUGGGCGAAAGCCUGAUCCAGCAAUGCCGCGUGAGUGAUGAAGGCCUUAGGGUUGUAAAGCUCUUUUACCCGGGAUGAUAAUGACAGUACCGGGAGAAUAAGCUCCGGCUAACUCCGUG